rnacentral:rRNA from 1 species
GACCAGACUCCUACGGGAGGCAGCAGUGGGGAAUAUUGCACAAUGGGGGAAACCCUGAUGCAGCGACGCCGCGUGAGUGAAGAAGUAUUUCGGUAUGUAAAGCUCUAUCAGCAGGGAAGAAAAUGACGGUACCUGACCAAGAAGCCCCGGCUAACUACGUGCCAGCAGCCGCGGUAAUACGUGGGGGGCAAGCGUUAUCCGGAUUUACUGGGUGUAAAGGGAGCGUAGACGGCUGAGCAAGUCAGAAGUGAAAGCCCGGGGCUCAACCCCGGGACUGCUUUUGAAACUGCGGAGCUGGAGUGCAGGAGAGGUAAGCGGAAUUCCUGGUGUAGCGGUGAAAUGCGUAGAUAUCAGGAGGAACACCAGUGGCGAAGGCGGCUUACUGGACUGCAACUGACGUUGAGGCUCGAAAGCGUGGGGAGCAAACAGGAUUAGAUACCCUAGUAA